rnacentral:rRNA from 1 species
CGGGUUGUAAAGUACUUUCAGUCGUGAGGAAGGCGGCGUCGUUAAUAGCGGCGUUGUUUGACGUUAGCGACAGAAGAAAGCACCGGCUAACUCCGUGCCAGCAGCCGCGGUAAUACGGAGGGUGCGAGCGUUAAUCGGAAUUACUGGGCGUAAAGCGCAUGCAGGUGGUUUGUUAAGUCAGAUGUGAAAGACCCGGGGCGUCAACCUCGGAAUUGCAUUUGAAACUAGGCAGACUAGAGUACUGUAGAGGGGGGUAGGAAUUUCAGGUGUAGCGGUGAAAUAGCGUAGAGAUCUGAAGGAAUACCGGUGGCGAAGGCGGCCCCCUCGGACAGAUACUGACACUCAGAUGCGAAAGCGUGGGGAGCAAACAGGAUUAGAUACCCUGGUAG